CGUGCUGCUGGUGGGCGGCUACAACGCGCGCGCGCUGGCCGUGCAGGAGCAGCGCAACGCGCUGCUGCGCGAUUCGAUCGCCGCGCUGGACGU
rnacentral:tRNA from 1 species